rnacentral:lncRNA from 1 species
AGCCUAUCAAACGCUCAAGAUAAAUAAUGAGAAGGUCUCUCUCUCCUGCCUCCAGGAAAAAACUGCACAGAGGAAAAAUGUUUGCUAAACCAUUAAUAUGUUCAUCCCAGGAUGGGAAGCAGCUUGGUCUAAAAGAAACAGAGUGGCACAUGUGUUUGUGUGUGACCAGUGGCCCCAUUCAACAGGACUCCUGGGGCAGCAUCCAUGGAGGGGCCUCAGGAGACACACCUAAGCCCUUUACCCAGUAACGUCGGAAAUGAAUGUUUCUCUGGUGGCAGACAGGGUACCUUCUAAACCUCUUGACUCAUGAGCAAAUUAACUCAAGGAUGGCCAACACCCUCUUAUCACUUGAGACUCAGAAGAAGGGAAAUCUCCUCUGAAUUCUUUUCUGACCAGGGGCCCUGAUGACUGCCCCUUGUUGUCCCUUCAUCCCUGUGUGGACCAUUCUCAUGGCAUGGUUUCUGUUUCAGGCAUAUUAGAGGAAGCUUCUGGAAACAGAAUCCGAGAUAGAAGUGAUCUCAAGACUUUCAACUCAAAGCUGCUCGUCGAUUUCCCCAGCAAAUCUUCUGAGUUGACUAAAGAUGAGACUGUAACAUCUCAGAGAAAAGUGCAUGGCUAUGACAUUGCAAACAUUUGUAUGACAGAUUAGGAAGUUACAAGUGCAUCAGAAAUUUCACUAAAAAGGCAUAUCUUCCCCAAGACAUAAAACAAUGUUUCCAUUGUUUUUGCUUCAGACUCUACAGACACACAACACUCUGUUCUAAUCAAGCAUGUCUGGAGUUCCGUAAACAAUGUGAAUCUGUGAAGCAGGCACCCAGAAGGAAGGAGGGCUGUCCAUGCCCUGAAAGGCACUCCUCCCUUGACAGGAAGUACGGGAGGACUUCCCUGCUGAGGCGGAACACUGGCUCCCUCACAAGAUGGCCUCCUGUGAUGGUGAGCAGAGCUAGUGUCUUCAUAUUCUUCCCUCUCUGCUCACCCACCUGACAUUUCUGCCUUGUCUCACUUGCCUGAACACUCCUCAGUUUUCCUGAUCUGGAAGCUAACUGGAUGACACUUGUCCUGUUACUACCCAUGGUCCCUAAUAUGACACGGAGCUAUGGACCAGCUCUUAGCAAAACCCCUGAGCAGACAAUCAAUGAAGGUAUAUAAAAUGGCAAAUGAAGACUUGAGAAUUCUACUCCAUAUAAUCCUUCCUGACGAAUCUCCAGGAACUGACAGUUUCCUUUGCCAUAGCACUAUC